GCGUCGAUGACAGAAAUGGCUAUGUACCUGUCUGCAAAACAGGAUUAUGAGGGUUCAACUCCCUUUCGACGCUCCA
rnacentral:tRNA from 1 species